AGAAAAAGAAAAAACAGCUUUCCCUACCGCUCCAUCCUCUCCUUCCCUGCCGCCUCCAUCCUCUCCCUCGCUGCCGCCUCCAUCUCCCUCGCCCCGCUCUCCGUCUCGCCGGCCGGCGGCGGCUCUGGCCGGCGGUGCGAAGCCACCCGAAUCGUGGCCAAGUCUGGUGCCCGUAGGGAGGCGGCGCCAGUUCGUUCAGCGGCGACCUCGCCGCCGCAGCAGCACGUCCCCGGCGCCCCAGCAAGCUCGUGCGCCAGCCGCUGGCCACAACAACUCUUCUACCCCGACGCUCCGACGAGCUCGUCCGCCAGCCCCUCGACACCAUCGAGGCCAAUGUACACCUGCACCUGAAGGCUUGCUAAGUUUUGGACAAUUGCCUCCAAUGCAUAAUUAUAAUUUUCGACCUCCGCCAAUGCAGCAUUCGUGAAGUCAAUACCGAUGGGUUAAACAGAAAAACAGAGGUUGUUUGCUAAACAUCAAGAAGGUGCAAGGAAGGAUGUGGAAUGUGCAUUUGGUGUGCUCCGGGCACGAUGGUCUAUUUUACGGCGCCCGGCACGUUUAUAUGACCGGGGCGAUCUCCAUCAUAUAGCCUGCAUCAUUCUACACAACAUGAUAGUCGAGGAUGAAAAGAAGAGGCGGGGAAUAUGCUUGAUUUGAAUGAGGAAGCAGGCUCGUCAAUUGUUUUCCCAUCGGUAUUUACUCAGGGUGACAUGCCAAUAUUUGCCGAGGUACUUGAAAGAGAUGCUAGAAUUCGUGAUCGUUCCAAGCAUAAGGCUCUAAAAAAUGACUUGAUUGAGCAUAUAUGGAAAAAGUUUGGGCGAUGAUAGAUUAUAUUCGAGACUUGAUCCAUGUAUUGCUAAAUAUGUUUUAUAUUCCCUCCGUUCCUAAAUAUAAGUCUUUGUAGAGAUUCCACUAUGGACUACAUACGAAGCAAAAUAAGUGAAUCUACACUCUAAAAUAUGUCUAUAUACAUCCGUAUGUAGUUUGUAGUGGAACCUCUAAAAAGACUUACAUUUAAGAACGGAGGGAGUAUAUUUUAAUUAUAUUAUAUUGGCACUAUUAUUUAUUAUGGAUCGGUUCGAAUUUGUGUUCUUGUAUUUAUCUAUGGGUACUAACAAACAAAAUUUUAUACUGAUACAUGCCACAUAUGGAUCACAAAGUUGAAGUACUAGUAUAGAUCCUACAAAACAAUAAAUGAAAACCUCCAAGUUACUACCUCUAUGUUACUACCGAUAAAUCAUGAGUGGACAUGGUGGCAAGCGAAGUUGGUAUCACGCCCACACAAUCCCACGUGAUUCGUGCAGUUUUUAUACGGCGAGCAUGUAUAUUUAUAUCUCCGCACCAUAUCGAACCUGUAUACCUUUCGUAUUCCCACUGACAGGUCAGGUCUGUUGCAUGCAGAAACAAGACGCAUUGAAUCGCUUGUCAGUUGUAACGGCAACCUGCAGCACGCUCCCCUCCUUCUCUUUAAUUCAUUUAGUCUUAUUGCUUCGGUUGUCCUACCUUUGUUCUCAGCGCUUGUUCUCGCUCUCUCUUGCAACCAUCAUCUCUCCGCAGGUCAGAACAAAUGUGUUCAUCCAUGCCCCAGGGAAGCUCUCCAUCACCUUCAUCCCAUGUCAUUUCCUACCAGGUCGUCCCACUCCCUCUCAUCCGUCGCCCUGAGUGCAGUGCAAUGCCGGGCACGUGGUCCAUUUCAGACAAUAGACCCAGGGAGGCAUUUCUACAGUUGUGAUAGCCAUGGUAUAGGAGGAUGCAGGUUCUGGAAGCAAAAGAACAAGUAUAUACAGUACCUGGGCGUCAGUUGGAGCCACAAUCGCCAUGCCUCACUUCUCGGAGAGAAUCAAGCCUGGCUAGAGAACAUGUUAAUCUUGUGCAUUGCCAAUCUUGUCGCCGUUGUCGUGCUCUUCAUCAGCUAGCAGAGCAAGUCCACCAGUUCGUCAGCUAGCCACUCCAUAGCUAGAACAUAUAUAUUUUGCAUCAAGUCCUCUCCAUGUUUCUCCAAGUACCAUCAUGCUUGCUCACCUACCGCGCUCCAGAGCCUGUGUUUAUGGUUGUUGUGCCAAUAAUUUUGGUUGAUUUGUUGCACUUAUUCACCACCAUUUCAGUUUU